AUGGAGGUCGACGCCGCCUACCCCGCCGCCGCAGCUGGCGAUGAGCUCCGGCGGCUCCUCACCGCCACCCUCAGCGCCGACAAAGCGUCCGUGGACGCCGCCACCGCCGGCCUCGACCGGAUCUCCGCGGCCGGCGACCCCCGCUUCCCCAUCGCCCUCCUCGCCGUCGCCGCAGGGGAUGGUGAUCAAGGGACAAGAAUAGCUGCGGCGACUUACUUGAAGAAUUUCGUCCGGCGCAACAUGGAAGGGGGGCUCUCGUCGUCCGAUCUCUACAGGGAGUUUCGCGACCAGCUCGCGCAGGCUCUGCUUCGAGUGGAACCUGCAAUUCUUCGAGUGCUGAUUGAAGUUUUUGGCCAAGUCGUGGUGAAAGAUUUUGUCAAGGAGAAUUCGUGGCCUCAACUUGUGCCUCAGUUGAAGCUGGUGAUCCAGAGCAGCGAUGCAAUUAGUCCAGGCCAGCAUCCUGAGUGGAAAACCAUUAAUGCUCUCACGGUACUCCAGGCCAUCCUUCGCCCCUUUCAGUAUUUCUUGAACCCGAAAGUUGUAAAGGAGCCUGUUCCAGAGCAGUUGGAGCAAAUCGCAGCUGAGAUUCUUGCACCACUGCAAGUGACAUUCCACCACUUUGCUGACAAGGUUCUACUAUCGCAUGAUGGGAAUAAGCUGGAAUAUGAGCAGCUCCUACUUAUCACAUGCAAGUGCAUGUAUUUCACUGUGAGGUCAUACAUGCCAUCUGGGGUGAAGCAGAUCCUGCCUUCCCUUUGCAAAGACAUGUUCCGUGUACUGGAUUCAUUGGAUUUCAACAGUCCUCCUGAAGAUUCAGCUACAUCAAGGCUCAAGAUUGCAAAAAGAUGUCUUAUUAUAUUUUGCACACUUGUUACUCGUCACAGGAAACAUGCUGAUAACCAGAUGCCACAUAUUGUCAACUGCGUAAUCAGAAUAUCGAAACAAAGCAUUCAUUUAAGUAAACUCAAUUCUCUCUCGGACCGGAUUUUUUCGUUAACAUUUGACGUAAUUUCCCGUGUAUUGGAGACAGGCCCUGGAUGGCGUCUUGUUUCACCCCAUUUUUCUUCACUUAUGGAUUCAGCAAUUUUUCCAGCAUUAGCAUUAAAUGAAAAGGAUAUAGCUGAAUGGGAGGAGGAUACCGACGAGUAUAUGCGGAAGAAUCUUCCCUCUGAACUUGAUGACAUUUCAGGGUGGGCUGAGGAUUUAUUUACUGCUAGGAAAAGUGCCAUCAAUUUACUUGGUGUUCUAGCCCUCUCAAAGGGCCCACCAGUUGUAUCUGCAGCUUCCAAACGCAAGAAGGGUGACAAAAGCAAAGGAAAAGGAGGAAGCUGCAUUGGGGAGCUAUUGGUCAUCCCAUUCCUGUCAAAAUUUCCUGUACCUUCUCAUGGAGAAGAUGCGUCAUCAAAGGCAGUGCAGAAUUAUUUUGGUGUUCUAAUGGCAUAUGGAGGCCUCCAAGAUUUUCUGAGUGAGAGGAAAGAUUUGGCGGUUACUUUGAUCAGGAAUCGGAUUCUUCCAUUGUAUUAUUUAGAUCCGUGCAGUCCAUAUUUGAUAUCUACUGCAAACUGGAUUAUAGGGCAGCUUACCCUGUGCCUACCAGAGGCUAUGUGCACGGAUAUUUAUAAUUCUUUAAUGAAGGCAUUGAGCAUGGAAGAUGCCGAGGAUGUAACUUGUUAUCCGGUUCGUGCUUCUGCUUCUGGUGCUAUUGCAGAACUCAUUGAGAAUGGUUAUGCUCCGCCUGACUGGGUUGCCCUUUUGCAAGUUGUUGUGAAAAGGAUAAGUGCUGAAGAUGAAAACGAGUCUGCUCUUUUGUUUCAGCUUCUGGGAACAAUAGUCGAUGCUGGCCAAGAGAAAGUUGCGGCUCACAUUCCUGGCACUGUGUCUAACAUUGCCAAUACUAUCACAAAUCUACUGCCCUCUGUACCAGAUCCAUGGCCUCAGGUUGUCGAACAGGGUUUUGCUGCACUGGUAGCUAUGGUUCAAGCUUGGGAUAGCCCUGCACCAGAUGAAAACAAGGAACAUGAGAAGAGUGCGUGGCAAUUAGGCCAGACUGCUAUCGCUCAAACUUUUUCAACAGUAUUACAAAAAGCUUGGCUGUUGCCAGUUGAACAGAUGGAGCCGACUUUAGAUUCUGCACUGCCACCACCUUCAUGUGUAAAUGAUGCUUCCGUGUUGCUUGAAUUCAUCCUGAGGUCUAUUACUUCUAUGGAAGAAAUCACACACAUGAAGGUCUUUGAGCUAGUAGUUAUAUGGGCAGACAUCAUUGCAUACUGGGACUCAUGGGAGGAGGAGGAGGAUCAAGGAGUUUUCAACGCAAUCAAAGAAGCUGUCAGUUUCCAUCAAAGAUUUGACUCCUCUGGUUUCUUUCUGAAGAUGCUUCCUUCCCAAUCUGCAAAUGGAUCACAAAGUUCAGUCAUUAGUCGGGUUUCUAGUUUUGUGACCAGGGCCAUUGCAGCCUACCCCUCUGCAACAUGGAGGGCAUGCUCAUGCAUCCAUACACUAUUGCAUGCUCCAGAUUUUUCCUUGGGAGCAGAAGAUACUAGAAUGACUCUUGCUGUAACCUUUGGGGAAGCAACAUUUUCCUAUUUCAAGGGUGUAUCUGACAGCCCUGCUGGGAUAUGGAAGCCACUACUCUUGGCCAUUUCUUCAUGCUACAUUUGCUAUCCAGAUGCUAUUCAGCAAGUUUUAUGCAAGGAUGAUGGCAAUGGUUAUACAGCAUGGGCAUCUGCACUGGCACAAGUCUCAAGUAGCUCGUUUACUCCUGGGCUCUCGUCUGAAUCUGAGAUCAAACUGGCCAUAUUAACAUUAGCAACUGUGAUUGAGCGACUGCUGGCCCUUUCUAUGGGUGGCACCAAGGUGUUGCAAGACUGCUAUAUAUCAUUGAUGGAGUCCUGCAUUCAUCUCAAGGACGUUCAAGAGGACGGGGACGAUGAUGAUGGUGAUGGAGCAGAAGAUCUAGAUGACGAUGAUGAUGAGGAAGACACUGAUGACGAUGAUGAGGAUUCGGAGGAUGAUGAUGUGCGAGAAGAGACAGAAGAGGAAUUCCUUGCAAGAUAUGCUGCUGCUGCUGGCGAGUCAAUCGAGGUUGUUGAGGAAGGAGAGAUAGAUGAAGAAACCCAAGACAUUGAACUGGGUUCCCUGGACGAAAUGGACAUACAACAAGUGGUUCUUUCACUGAUUCAGAAACAUACUGCGCUCCUCCAAGCGCAGGUUUUGCCAGAUGACCUAAUUGAGAGAAUUGCAGAAACAUUUCCUGAAUAUGAGCAGCUGUUGCAUGCUCACCAACUUAGGUGUUAG
rnacentral:rRNA from 1 species